AAGGCUGAAAUUCGCCUUCAUGAAGCCGGAAUUGCUAGUAAUGGCAGGUCAGCAUACUGCCGUGAAUACGUUCCCGGGCCUUGUACACACCGCCCGUCACACCAUGAGAGUUGGGAAUACCCGAAGCCUGUGAGCUAACAUUAAGAGGCAGCAGUCGAAGGUAGAAUCAAUGAUUGGGGUGAAGUCGUAACAAGGUACC
rnacentral:rRNA from 1 species